rnacentral:lncRNA from 1 species
AGGGGACAAAACUCUGGGAUUCAGAGAUACCCAUUUCAUAGACAUAAUUGCCCGUUGUUUCUGCAGUGACACAAUGCACAGGGUCCUCCUGUAAUCUCAGCCCUCUUCCACCAAAGUCUUGAGCCCUGCUAUGCCUCCCCCUCACCCCAACCAGAACUUAUGUCGUUUGACACAGUCUCUGCUCAUCAUUCCCUCCUGGUUUCCUUGAGAAUGGGUCUCAGGCCACACCAGAGGCACCUGCCAGGCGACAUGCUUCUUUCUCUAAGAGCGCCUGGGUUCCCAGAGCAGCCUGCUAAGAUGGCAUUAUGGGGUGGGAUUAACUGAAAGCACCAGAACUUGCUUUUGGGUUCUCUCUCUGUUGGUUCACUUGAAUCUUGUUUGAUCAGGUUCUAACAUCUGUGGCUAACUGGGCAGCUCUACCCUUAUAGAGGGAAAUGUUGAUUUUGCUUUUUAUUAUCAUUUGUUUAUCUGCCUUUAGGGAAGGAGCAGACAGGAGAAAAUAAUAGAAUAUACCAUUUAUGCUGGGAAAUGCAUUGAGUCAACUUAAUUGCUCUACAGAAACCCUGGGCUUAAAUACUAACACCAUGAAGGACAAGAGUCUGUGUCUCCCCUCCCAAGAAGACAAAACAUGGCUAACUCAAAAACCACUGGAAAAGUUGGAGAAGUAUGGGAAAAUAAAUGUCUUGCUGAAGACCCCAGGCUGUGCUGUUUUGUUACAGCCAAAGACACUGACGUCUCUGUAUUUCUGAGAAUGGAAUGCGCCUGGCAUGCAGUACAUUUUGGCAGAGUUGAUGAGCUGGCCAUCACAGUCUCUGCUCCUCUUCAAAGGCAGAGAGCACAUGCUGGGAAGUAGCUACCCAACUGGGGAUGACACUUCCCAGGCCGUGGAUCUGGGCAGAUGGCUCAGUCCUGGACUCAAGGCCUCCUCGGGGUGCUUGCUCUGGGCUCCUCUAAAGUAUGCAUGACGAGCCGUGGUCUCGAGGUUCAAAGGACACCAGGCUAAAAAGCGCCUUGUGAUGUCUCAAGACUGAACACCUUGCUGCGCAUACUGGCCACAGAGGUAGAGCUCCGAUAUCCCAAACAAGAAGUCCCAUGGCCUAACACUGCCUGGCACAGAAAGGAUCUGUUUUAAAAAUGACUGAAAAUGUGUCUGAUGCCUGGGAAACCAGAAGCCCGCCCAGGGCCAAACUCUGGCUCCACUCAUUAUGUGACUGUGGGAAAGUCAGUGAACAGUGUGCCUCAGUUUCGUCAUCUGUAAAAUGGGGAUAAUGAUGAUCCAUACCUCACAGGGCUGUCAUGAGGGUGCACUGAGCUGAUUAACGCAUGAAAAGUACAUGGAGGAGGGCCGGCACCUCAUGAGGGCUUUUUCCAUCUGUGCUCUUACUGAUGCUGCCAUAAUAUGUGUCACUCAUCUUAAGAACGGUAAAGGCCACCCUGGCUGUGUAGAUCUUCAGAAAUCUCCUUUCCCGAAACGGAGGGAGGGCACGUUAAACUCUCUCUGUUUGGCUUACCAUGGUCUUUCCCAUUAAAUACCUCUAAGCUCUGGCCCCUCCUGUCCUUCUCACUGACACCAAAGUUGUUUUUCUAAAAAACAGUGAGCAUAUUAAAUAAGUAAAUAAAUAAGGAGGCACGUGUUCUCAGGACCUCCUGAGGGUGUGUCAUGGUUAAAGAAAAAUAAAUUUUAAUUAAAAAAAUGUGAGUUGCAAACCCCCACCCCCAUGAAUCUGCCAUGGCUCCCUACUGCCCAAGACUAAAAUCCUACUCCUCAGCCUAAGAUCUUAGGCCCUCUUCUUUUGACUCCAUCCUGCUUUUCCACCUCUUCUUUCAUCCCAGCUCUGCAUUCCCCCUAGGUACUGGCACAUCACACGCUACUAACUUCCUAAUAUGCCACCAUGUGGGCACAGCCAGGCCUCUGUGUGUGUGCUUCAGCUCCCCACCUCCCUUUGACACCUGUGGAAAUUCUACACAUCCCUCAUGACUCAGCUCAAAUACCACCUCCUCCAGGCUGUCUUCCCUGAUCCCCAGAGUUGGAUACAUUAUAAACUCUCAACAAUGCUUGCUGAAUGAAUAAGUGAGUAAUGGGAUUCCUCCGUCCUCAUGUUCCCAUAGUCAGUGCUUGAACCCAUAUCAUUCUAUCCCAGGUGUAAGUUUCACAUAACUCUGCUCCACAAGCCAUGAGUGCAAAGGUUCUCCCCCACCUCUCACCUGGAUGUUUUGAUGAACUUUCAAGAUGAAGCAAGAGUCCAAAUUCCUAGCCCUCUUUCAAAGACAAAUAUCGACAAGCCAGAUCCCCAUCUUGGAAUGACGUCACAAUGACAAAAUCAAAGAUCACUGACUGUUGGCAGUGCUUACUGAAGCCAUCUAGGCCCCCUGGUUUUCAAACAGUUUUUAGCAACAGAAAU